CCCACAACCCCGGCAUGUGCCUUUAGCUGGAAUCGAACCUGGGACCCUUUAGUCCCCAGGUUGACACUCUAUCCACUGAGCUAAACCAGCCAGGGAAUGAUCAGUCCUGUAAAACGGGGAGGGGAAUGUCUGCCCUGUGGGCUGUAUUAGGCCCUUCGGUCUGGCCCUGCCAAUAUAUGAGGGGUGAGCAGGCUAAUUUUUUAAAAUACAUAUUUUAUUUAACUCAGAGAGGAAGAGAGAGGGAGGGAGAGACACAUCAGUGAUGAGAAUCAUUGAUCAGCUGUUUCCUGCAGGCCCCUUACUGGGGAUCGAGCCCAUAACCCAGGAAAAAGGGUCCCACUGCCGCUUUAAGUCAGAUUAACAGCGUCGUCUUCCUCAGUGUUUGCUCCCUCAGCCACUGUGCAGGUGAGGCGGUCCGGGCAGCAUCAGAGAGGACAGUGGUCAGAGGGGGCAGCGGUCAGAGGGGACAGCGGUCAGAGGGGACAGCGGUCAGAGGGGACAGCAGACAGAGGGGACAGAGGACAGAGGGGACAGAGGACAGAGGGGGCAGCAUCAGAGAGGACAGCGGUCAGAGGGGACAGCGGUCAGAGGGGGCAGCGGUCAGAGAGGACAGGGGACAGAGGGGACAGAGGACAGAGGGGACAGAGGACAGAGGGGGCAGCAUCAGAGAGGACAGCGGUCAGAGGGGACAGCGGUCAGAGGGGGCAGCGGUCAGGGGGGGCAGCGGUCAGAGAGGACAGAGGACAGAGGGGGCAGAGGACAGAGGGGGCAGCGGUCAGAGGGGACAGCGGUCAGAGGGGACAGCGGACAGAGGGGGCAGCAUCAGAGAGGACAGCGGUCAGAGGGGGCAGCGGUCAGGCUCUGGAACAGAACAAAACAACCCGUCUCUGCCCCUUUGAAUAGCUGACUUCCUUCUCUCACCUUCCCAUCUGAAAAUACACAUGCCUUCCCAAGACGUUUCCUCAGCCCGUCCUUUCCGUCUGAAACUGUCAGGUCAGCAGGUGAGAGCGGACCACCCGGCCCCCGCCCCUUGCUUCAGAGAUGGAGUCCACACUGGUGCUCACCGCACCAUCCCGGUGGCUGCACCCACACCGGGCCCGGGGCCUGCCCACCCCGGGGCUGGUGGAGAACCCGGGGCUGAUUUUUCAAAAACUUCAGUCACAGGUUUUUUGGAUACAUGUAUUUAUUACGCGGUGGAAAGCAACACUACCCAGUUUAUUUUAGAUUUCACUUAAAAUAAACACUUCCCGAUUUCAGAACACGAACAACAUUGCAGUGUUCCGAUUAGGUUCCGAGGGAGGUCCUGGCGGCAAAUACAUUCAGAGCUGAGCAAUCCCCGGAGGAGCUAAACCCAACACACAGGCACCCAGGCCCGGCCAGACAGACAGCAGCCCCCGCGGCCAACCGCUCGCCCGCUCCCCGGUUGGGGGACAGGGGCAGUGUGGGGCGGUGAGAGCACAGACCAGAGCCGCACAGCAGGGAGUACAAAGCGUGAGAAACCGCCGGAGCGCUCCGCAGAGACCUUCGGGGUCUCCAGGCGGCAUCCACUGGCGGCACCCACAGCAGUGACACCGAAGGUACUCGCGGCUGUCAGCCUCCGGCCAGCGGCCCCAGCGGGAGCCGCUGCGGCGGACAUGACCUCGUGGUAGGAAGGGCACACAGCGCGAAAUCACAAAGCCUUUACAGAGUCCUAAUCGGAAAUGACAGCGAGGGCUCUUUCCUUUAAAGCAGGGCGCCCCGGCCAUCGGUGACGCUUCCGCCACGUGAGCGUCCGAGGGCCCCGAGCACACAGCGCUGCUCCGAGCCGGGACCCUGGAGUGGGGUCAGGGGUGGAGGGGGGGCUUCCCGGGGCAACGCUGCUCCCGGCCUCCUCCGCCUCGUUCCCACAGACCCAGGCCGGGCUGGUGCCCGGCGGCUCGGUCCUCCACGGCCACGGCCACGGCCACGGCCACGGCGAGCCACGGACUUAGAUGAAAGCAAAAGGGGAAACGCUGGAGGCCGCUAGCGGGGUCGGCGGGCCGUGAGGCAGCGGGCAGCUCGGAGGCAGCGUGUGGCCCGUAGGAAAGGGGAAGGAUUUGCUGUGUAAUGUGAACACCAGCUUGUCUGUGGGGGAGGUUUCUGCUCAUUUCUCAACGGCUUCAAAGAAGACGGGGGUGUGUGUGCGCUUACUAUCAAGAUAGUCUCACUAACAUACGCCUUCACCUCUGAGGUCUGAUACAGUGUAUGUGCAAUUCCCUCCCCGAAAUUGCUGCAGCUCCAUUUACAACUAACUGGCCUUGUUCUGAACGCAGCAGCCGCCGGGGGUCUGCCAGGGAGGAGAGGGGGCUGAGGGCCCUGGUGGACCCACGGAACGCACCUCCGCAGCGGUUCCCUCGGGACUCUGGACGCUGACUGCUUCCUAAAGAGCCGCAGCAGCACAUCCCCGGCCAAUUCGUACUCAGUUAUCUGGUUGGUCUACAGACAGACAGCCUCCUUACAGCUCAGAUGCCAGAUCUGGCGGAGUCUUCUGACUCACUGGGAACGUGGGGAGGGGCAUGCCACACCCCCUUUCCCAGCUGAAGGGCCCAGAGGCAUGUGGCCGCGCCUGGGAAGAGGCUGGGCAAAGGGGACAUAGAAAAAGGAAAAAUUUCCAAAAGUAGUGUAGCUACAUCGACACAUUUUUGGUCACCAAACGUAUCUUCAACAGAUUCCCUGAUAAAGUCUGAUCAGAAUUGGUCUAUCCUACUAAACACUGUUAACUAUGGUAAUUAUUAAAGUCACAUCGUGAAGCUGGGGGGAGGGGAGAAAUCUUAAACACACAACCAUGAGUGCACGCAGUUGUUCAAACGCUCAGACUAGUCUCUACAGGAAGUCCUGGAAAUCGCACUAUGCGGUUCUACAGGCAGCCUGGCCCCUGCGGACAGGCCGUGGAGAUAACAGCUUAAUUUCUAUUGAUGCAUAAGACCGAGAGUCCACAGAACACACACAAGAAUCAUGAGGACCUCACAGCUAAGCCAGCACUGGGACUACUUCUGCAUCGGACUCUACAGCGCACCAGGCCACAGCGCUCACAUUGUGGAGGGAGGAGGUUUUACUUCUGUUUUGUCCCCAGAGAGAUCAGGUUUGUCCUGGGCGUGCAACGGAGAGACUGCCAGUAGCACUGAGCUGACCCACGCUGCAGGAGACACACCGCCAGGCAGAGACACACGUGUUCCGUGACCACGUCCACGGUGACACGGGUAAGGGGCCGGGCCGGGCUCCGGCGUCACAGGAGGCCGUCGAGGUUCUUGUGCACGGUCUGGUUCUCCUUCCCGUCGUCGGCGUCGCCCUGCGGCGUGUACUGGCCCUGGUACUCCUGCAGGAUCUUGAACACGUCGUGGUGGCCGAAGUGCAGCGCCUCGUCCAUGGGCGUGUUGUUCCACCUGCAGGCAGCACACAGAACAGGGCGUGAGGCGCCCGGACAGCGCGGUCCUGCCCCUCCGGGCUCAGGGGCAGGGAAGGGUCAUCCGUGCCAGCUGAGCCAUGUGACAGUGACCAUUAGUGGGAGGAGUACACAGGAGGGCCUGGGAGGCAGCCUUGGGGAGCAGGAGGACAGGGAACAGACCCAAGCGCUCCGGACGGAAAGUCCUGGCUGACAGAGAACAGACCCAAGAACAGACCCAAGCGCUCCGAGAACAGACCCAAGCGCUCCGGACGGAAAGUCCUGGCUGACAGAGAACAGACCCAAGAACAGACCCAAGCGCUCCGGAACAGACCCAAGCGCUCCGGAUGGAAAGUCCUGGCUGACAGACAAGGGAGGCUCCUCAAGGUCCCUGAGCUGGGACUCCGGGAAAAGCUCCAGGGAUCUCUCUCCAUAAAAAGUCCAAAGGAAAUGCAGGUUUGUAGCACCCAUCCCCCUAGCCUUUGCUACAGAAAUUACGUUCCUAUGAAUUCAGAAUCGCAGUGAGUCUCAGGGGUCUGGAGAUAACUGCAACCCCAAUUAGGGUACAAGCACACAUCGUAGGAGCAAGAUCGACCCCAAGGAAUGGACUGUUCACCUUCCCUGGUGAAGAUGGGACCCGGGGCCAGCGCCCGGGCAGGAGGGCGACCCUGCCCUUCCCACGUGUUCCUGCUCUUGGGGUGACGGAGGGGAAGACUGGCCACAGCGGUGAACCGGCUCUCCAGCCUCUUAAGAAAUGAGACAGUGGGUGACACACAACCCAAGGAAGGGCAGAGGGUGACGGUGGUUCCCUAACACUCACAACCGAUGCAGCCUCCCUCCCUCCUCGCCGCUGGCGCCGGUCCUUGGCACAAGGCUCUCGGGCUCCUGUGCCACACACCACCUGGCUUCCUUCCUUCUCUUUCUCCCUCUGAUGGACCCGACAGGUUUUGCAUAUUCAGUUUCAUUUGAAAAAUAUUUCUGGAUAAAGCUUGGUAAUUUUCUUAAUUUUUAAAAUCAGGUAAGUAACAUUUUAGUUGUAUUUUCCCCCCAAAAGUCCCAGAUGAAUUAAGUUGCUUUUACUUUUUUACUGGCCUUCAUUUAUUUAGGGAGUCAGUGGCCUUAUAUUGGGGUGAGGACAGUUUUCAGUCUUCUACAGCAUAUAAUUACCUGUCUUUGGGUGUGGGGGGGGAGAGAGAUUGAAUGUUAACUGCAAGUUACCUUCUUUACAACUUUUUCCAUGAAACAAUGCAAAAUGUCAACUUUACAGAACACACUGCAUUUGCUCAAGCCUAUUCUUCAAGUUGAGGUGACGCUGACUGUGAAGUAGAAGAAAGAACUGUCUUGGUUUAACCUAAAAUCUCAAAUAGUUGGAUACCUAGUUACCAAGGUACUUGCGUAGCUAACCUUUGCCACCCAUUGGGUACUUCCCUUCCCCAUUCCUACUGGCCAGUUAGGACA